rnacentral:lncRNA from 1 species
GCUGGGUGGCCUCUGUGUGCUCAGGGCUCUGUGCGUGCUGGGUGCUCUGCGUGUGUGUGCUGGGUGCUCUGUGUGCUCAGGGCUCUGUGUGCUCAGGUCCGUGCAGGUUGUUGGGGCAGUGCGGGUGCUUAGUGCUCUGGCUGCGGGCUGUUCGGGUGUUUGGGGCUCUGGCUGUGCUCCCUGUGCCCCGCUUGCAGUGGGGAAGCACCCCGCUGUGCUGAGCUCAGGGCGCGCGUCC